rnacentral:rRNA from 1 species
UACGUAGGGAGCAAGCGUUGUUCGGAUUUACUGGGCGUAAAGGGCGCGUAGGCGGCGUGUCAAGUCGAUUGUGAAAUCUCCGGGCUUAACUCGGAACGGCCAAUCGAUACUGACGUGCUAGAGUGCAGAAAGGGCAAUCGGAAUUCUUGGUGUAGCGGUGAAAUGCGUAGAUAUCUGGAGGAACACCGGUGGCGAAGGCGGCAUCCUGGACCGGCAUUGACGCUGAGGCGCGAAAGCCAGGGGAGCAAACGGG